GAUGAACGCUGGCGGCGUGCCUAAUACAUGCAAGUCGAGCGAACAGACGAGGAGCUUGCUCCUCUGACGUUAGCGGCGGACGGGUGAGUAACACGUGGAUAACCUACCUAUAAGACUGGGAUAACUUCGGGAAACCGGAGCUAAUACCGGAUAAUAUAUUGAACCGCAUGGUUCAAUAGUGAAAGACGGUUUUGCUGUCACUUAUAGAUGGAUCCGCGCCGCAUUAGCUAGUUGGUAAGGUAACGGCUUACCAAGGCAACGAUGCGUAGCCGACCUGAGAGGGGGAUGGGCCACAAGGGAAGGGAGAAAGGGUCAAAACCCGUAGGGGGGGAAACAGAGGGGAAUUUCCCGAAAGGGGCGAAAGCCGGACGGGGAAAGGCCGGGGGAGGGAGGAAGGUUUUGGGAUUGUAAAACUCUGUUAUGAGGGAAAAAAAAAGGUGAAAGAAAAAAUGAACGUUUUGAGGGUACUAAAACAAAAAGCCACGGCUAACUACGU
rnacentral:rRNA from 1 species